UUCUUUUUAAAUUUCUGAGAUUAUAAUA
rnacentral:piRNA from 1 species